rnacentral:lncRNA from 1 species
GCUCCAGAUCCAUUGCACCAAGAACUUCCUCCCUCUUCUACCAUUCAAAUUAAAGGUCCUGCCUUUCCUAUCCCUCAUCACCUGCCCUAUAUACCCACCACCGCCACCUGUCCCAUACAACCCUUCACACAAAUCCCCUAUCUCAGUUGGUGCUGUUGGAUCCUCCCCAGCAUACCAAGCAUUCACCAAGGGAUUUGAAGACAACUCUGCAAGUUCAUGGCCUAUAACACUAAUCAUUCCAUCAACACCCACAUCCCCAUUUGGUGGCUUCAAGGCUCCUGGUCCACCUCCACCCAUAUAACCAGGGACUGCAAAAGGGUAAGCACAUACUUCAGGGC